GAUGAAUGCUGGCUGUGUGGAUAAGGCAUGCAAGUCGAACGCAUUUAGUUGCAUGGCGGACGAGGUAGUAACACGUAGGAACUACGUACCCCAAAGUCAGGGAUAACCCAUCGAAAGGUGGGAUAAUACUUGAUAUCUCUUCGGAGGAAAGAUUUAUCGCUUUGGGAACGGCCUGCGGAGUAUCAGCUAGUUGGUAAGGUAAUGGCUUACCAAGGCUACGACGCUUAGGGGAGGUGAGAGCCUGACCCCCACCGAUGGGACUGAGACACGGCCCAUACUCCUACGGGAGGCCGCAGUCGAGAAUCUUCCACAAUGGACGAAAGUCUGAUGGAGCGACACAGCGUGAUGGAUGAAGUUCAUAAGAAUGUAAACAUCUUUUAUAUGUGAAAAAGUUUAUUGAUAUUAACAUAUGAAUAAGGGGUUGCUAACUACGUGCCAGCAGCAGCGGUAAUACGUAGGCCCCGAGCAUUAUCCGGAAUCAUUGGGCGUAAAGGGUCCGUAGGCGGUUUAAUUAGUCUUUCGUUAAAGCACCAGGCUCAACCUGGGACAGGCGAAGGAAACGGUUAAACUAGAAUCAAAAAGAGGUGUGUGGAACUCAUAGUGUAGGGGUGAAAUCCGUUGAUAUUAUGGGGAACACCAAAAGCGAAGGCAACACACUGGUUUUGUAUUGACGCUGAGGGACGAAACCCUGGGUAGCGAAUGGGAUUAGAUACCCCAGUAGUCCAGGGCCUAAACGAUGCAUACUAGCUUUUUAAAUUUCAAUCAUUUAAGAGGCGAAGCUAACGCGUUAAGUAUGCCGCCUGGGGAGUACGGUCGCAAGGCUAAAACUCAAAGGAAUAGACGGGGACUCGCACAAGUAGUGGAUCAUGUGGCUUAAUUCGUAGGUACACGAAGAACCUUACCCAGAUUAGAUAUUAUAUUCAUGCUACACAUUGGAGACAAAUAGUAGAUAUUGUGGUAUAACAGGUGUUGCAUGGCCGUCGUCAGUUCGUGGCUUGAGCUGUUCCUUUAAGUAGGGAAACGAACGCAACCCUCAUCGUUUGUUAUAAGUGUCAAACGAGACUGCCUCGCCUUAAGUUUUUAAAUAAAAUUUUGAAGAUUUAAGGCGGGGAGGAAGGUGGGGAUGACGCCAGGUCAGCAUGACCCUUGAUGUCUGGGGCUGCACACGUGAUACAAUGGGCAGGACAACAAGACGCAAUACGGCAACGUGGAGCAAAUCUUUCAAACCUGUCCUAAGUUCGGAUCGGGGGCUGAAACUCGACCCCGUGAAGUUGGAAUUACUAGUAAUCGCAGGUCAGCUAUACUGCGGUGAAUAUGUUCUCGAGUCU
rnacentral:rRNA from 1 species